UACGUAGGGUGCAAGCGUUAAUCGGAAUUACUGGGCGUAAAGCGUGCGCAGGCGGCUUUGCAAGACAGAUGUGAAAUCCCCGGGCUCAACCUGGGAACUGCAUUUGUGACUGCAAGGCUAGAGUACGGCAGAGGGGGAUGGAAUUCCGCGUGUAGCAGUGAAAUGCGUAGAUAUGCGGAGGAACACCAAUGGCGAAGGCAAUCCCCUGGGCCUGCACUGACGCUCAUGCACGAAAGCGUGGGGAGCAAACAGG
rnacentral:rRNA from 1 species